CGAAUUGGAACCCCUCAUUUCAUUUCACAAUUCACAACCCCGGCGUUGUUCCUCCCAUCACAACUCGAUCACCUCCUGAGGCUGGUGGCGAUUGGCACGAUGACAAGCAGGACGAGGAGCAGCAGGAUUAUGAUGCCGAUGCAGAGACACUUGCGGCUGCUUCUCUGGUACUCCUUGGCCUUGCCCAGCUCCUUGUUGCCGCCCUGCACGUAGUGGGAGGCGUUGGCGACGUGGCUCUCGAUGUCGUCGAGCUUCUCCCCCUGCGUCUCCACCAUGACGGCCAUGUCGAGGAACACUUGGUGGAGCUCCAGGAGGCUGCGUUCCACCUCGCGCGCCGCGUCACGGCGGUCCUGGAUCUCGUGCACCGCGGCGAGCACGGCGCCCUUGCCGUGCUCCGCGACAGCGGCGCCCAGGAGCUCCUCGCCGCGGCCGUCGGAGAUGAUGCGCUCGAUCACCUCCUCCUCGGGGACCUCCCCGGUGAGCGUGUAGUAGCGCCGCUCCACGGUCUCCUUGUACUCGGACAUCAUCCGCUGCCGCAGCGCCUGGAAGUCGAGCAUGAGGUCCUUGAGCUUCUUCCGGAGUCCCGAGGUGACGGCGGUGCGCGUGCGGUCCAGCGGCGUGCCCUCGCGGCACCCAGCAGAAAGCCUCCGCUGCGCGGCGUUGGCGCGGUCCAGAGACUCGAGCCUAGCGCGGAUGUCGCGGGCGCGGCGGAGCACGGCGACGAUAUCGGCGUUGACGCGGCCGCGGUGCGCGCGGAGGGCGUCCACCUGGCGCAGCGACUUGCCCUCCUCGUUGGCGGCGUGCAGGCGGUCGAGCGCGUCGCGGAUGGCCGCCAUCUCCGCCUUCACCGCCUCCGCCUCCUGGAAGAACCCGCGCAGGCGCUCGUCCGUGACGCCGCCGGCGCCCGCCUCCGGGAGCUCGAUCCCGUCGCCCGCCGCCUCCAGGUCCUUCAUCGCCGCCUUCUUCAGGUCGACGUAGCUCAUGAAGGACUUGGUCAUGAGGUCGUUCAUAGUGCCGAUCACUGGAUUGCCUUUGCAGCUCUCUCCGUGUAGGGCUACUGGGAUAGAUGUUUGCGGUGGUGGAACGAAUCGGCGGGGAAAAGGAAGAG
rnacentral:misc_RNA from 1 species